AAAGGCGAUUGUCGCGGGCUGGCGUAAGUCAGCGUGAGGAAAGUCGGGACAGCACAGAGCACCAUACUUCUUAACGGGAAGGCGUUGGAGACAACGACAGCAAGUGCCACAGAAAAUUACCGCCCGCAAGGGUAAGGGUGAAAACGCGAGGUAAGAGCUCACGCAUUGCCAUGGUGACACGGCAAUGAGGUAAACCUUAUGGGCUGCAAGACCAAAUAUACCGGCGAUUGAGGGUCGCUCGCCCGAGCCGGGAGGGUAGGUUGCUAAAGACAAGCGGCGACGCUUGCCUUAGAGAAAUGACAAUCAUUCCGCAAGGAAUACAGAAUCCCGCUUAUGCCUUUCCUU
rnacentral:RNase_P_RNA from 1 species